CCCUUAGAUGUCCUGGGCCGCACGCGCGUUACACUGAUGCAUUCAACGAGCUUAUAACCUUGGCCGCGCGGCCUGGGCAAUCUUGUUCCCGUGCAUCGUGAUAGGGCUCGAUUAUUGAAAUUAUUAAUCUUGAACGAGGAAUUCCUAGUAAACGCAGAUCAUCAAUCUGCAUUGAUUACGUCCCUGCCCUUUGUACACACCGCCCGUCGCUACUACCGAUUGAACGGUUUAGUGAGGGCCUCGGAUUGGUCUCGGCCCGCUCUUUACCGGGCGGCGCCGUUGGUCGAGAAGACGCUCGAACUUGAUCGUUUAGAGGAAGUAAAAGGCGUAACA
rnacentral:rRNA from 1 species